rnacentral:lncRNA from 1 species
UAAAUGAUCUUCCUACAACUGUUUAGCUCAUGGAUCUAGAAGGAAUCAAUUUGAAAUAUAUUUAAUCAAACAUGAGAGUAAUGAUUAUUUUGAAUAUGGGUCAAACAACAUUUUGAAGUUCUACAAAAUUGAUUUUGGUGCUUGGUUGGUAGUUAAUUUUCUGUCAUGUCCUUUAAUCUCAACAUGGUAUCAGGGCCAUGACAUCCUUCAUGAACAAAAUUAUCUUCCGCUGCCAUGACAGAGUUUUUCUUCAAUCUUUACCAGUUUUUAUUUUCUUCUUACUACAAUUAUUUUUCCCACUAAUCCAGUUCUUCCGAUGCCACAAGAGUCUUUUCCUUCUUCUAAUCUUUUGUUUGAUGGAAAUUGUCUCAGUUGGGCUAGUUUCUUAAUCUUUUGGUCACGCUACCACCACCAGUUUCUAUUGGAUAUUUGAAGUUGUUUAAUGAGUAUGGCUCUUGUUGAAGUUGUUACCUGAAGUUUGUCUAUAUAUUCUUGAUUUUGAUAGGUUUAGUGGGUACUCACAAGGUGUUUGGUUUUGGUCCUCUUUGAAGAUAACUUUUGUCCAUGGUGAUUAAGCACUAUUCUUAGCUUCUGUUAUGGAUGGUUAAGUAUUGAGAUACUGUUUUGCUUUUGUCUUGAGUGGUUAAGCAUUAUGUUUGGCUUCUGUUCUUGAUGGUUAAGUUUAAUUGCUUCUGCCUCAUGGUUAUUAAGAUUUCUUAGUGAAUUUGAACUUCUAUGAAGUGUUUAAACUUUGAGGUAUAGUUUCUAGUUUGUGGUUAAGCUCUUGUUUUAUGGCUUGAUGGUCUCAGCUUCUGCCUUGUAUGGUGGUUAAGCUUUUGAUGUCUUUUUAGUCAUUGUUUAUCUUUUGUCAAUGCCAAUUGUAGGUCAUGUUUUCACAGUCUUUGGGUCUCCCUCCAUUGGCUCAUUUGUUCUCCUAGAUGCAUUGGCCCUAUCUUAGUCCCAGUUGCAUUGAUUGCAUCCUUGUCCCAAAUGCAUUGGUUUAGUCCUUGUCCAAGAUGCAUUGGUUCGUCUUUGUCUCAGUUGCACUGGCCUUGUACAUCUUUGAUACACUGUUGUCAUGGAUAUCAACUUAUCUCAACUGUUUUCUGCAACUAUCUAAUGAAUUUGAAGGAUAAUGUAUUAUAACAAGCUAAAAGUGUAGUAAGCUUUAGCUUGAGGGGGAGUGUUGGAAGUUGUGACUCGUCCACUCUUCCUUUGCUUGUUUCAACUCCUCUUGUGUUGAUAUCUGAGACUUUGAUGUCCUUGCAUUAAUGUCAUGGGUUUCGGUUUGCUCCCUCGCAACAUCUGAGUUAGAAGAAGAAUCUUUAGUUAAUCUUCAAUUUUUCAGUGUCGUACUCUGCACACUGGAGUCCUCUAGCUUGGAGAUGUUUUCAAUUUCUGAUGUUUCAGUUAUGUUUCAAGCUUAGAGCAUUUUAUUUGCAUGCUCCAGUUUCAGAUAUGUUUUUCCUUUUACUAGCUUGUCUUUUUGUAUCUAUAUAUACAGUCUUUGAGUCAAUGAAUAAGAAAAAAAAUGUACAUAAUUUUCAGUUAUGUCCUUUAAUCUCAACAGUUACACUUGAAGUACAAAGG